UCAUAGAUAGGAUAGCGCUUCUUCAUAAGUGCUAUUAUAGGUUCUUUCACAAAAAAUAAAAAACUAAAAACGCUGAAAUUAAAAAGGUAAACACACCGUUCACUCACCGUUUUUCUCCAUCGUUCCUCACUCUCAAUCACUCCUCACUCUCCAUCGGUUAACUCACCGUCUUCUCCAUCAUUCUGACGAACUCGCCGUCUUUUUCGACGAACUCCCGUCUUCUCCGACGAAAUCAACCCUUCUAUCCAUUGUUCACCAUCAAUUGAACCCUAAAACCUUCUUCUCUCCAUCAUUCCCAAAACUUGUUAAACCCUAAAUCCCAAAUUGAACCCAUCAAUUAGAAGAUUCAUAAUUGGCCUUUUCUUUUUGUAAUCAGUUUGUUCAUCAAAUCAAAGAAGAAAUAUGUGCCGCCUUUCCUCUAAUCUUCGAUUCACAAAAUCAAGUUGAUUCGAUUCUUAAUUAGUUCGACUCAUUCCCUUUUGUUCGAUUCUCCCAUUCAGUUUCUCUGUGUUCCCUUUCGUCAGCCAUUCCGUUUCGUCAAUCAAAAGCUUCAGUUCAGGUCUCUUCGCAGCAUUCAUUCAGGUCAUUCUUCUUUGCUUCAGUCCUGCUUUCCUAUUUGCUACCUUUGGUACUGUUAGCCUUAGAGUUCCGCCACAUCGUCGUAUCGCUGCUGAAAUCGACACAAUCAGGUAUGCUAUCUAUAUGUGGGUUUUGAAUUGGUGUAAAUUCUUUUCAACUAGUUUGCUUUUAGAUUAUUUAUGUUAGUGGUGUGGACCAAAUUCAAAUUGGUUGGUUAGUUUACAUAGUGAGUGAUAGGCAAUAAGCACAGUACACAACUUAGCAAGUAGAUGGUUAGGCUUUGCAACCUUAGUGCUUACUACGUACAUCUUAAUGUUAGGAAAUAAUGCUCAAUCUGAAUGUAGUGGUGACAUGAUUGAGAUUAAGUUCCAUGUAGAAAUUUUGUUGAAAAUGAUGGGCCAAAUAACCCACCAUCAGAACCUUGGUGACAUGACUGUGAUAUUGUUGAUUUAAUAUAAGUAUGUGGUUUAGAAAUUCGAUAGCACUGAUUUCUAGUAAAAUGACAUAAGGAUUAUAUUUGUUUAGUCCAAAUUUGAGUUCGUUCCUCCUAUAAAUGACACAAUAAGGAAAAUGUUGAAAUCUGAGAUUAAUGACAAGUAGGACAAUGGAAGACCAAUUUAAAAUCAAAGGUAUAUGACCCAAGUAAAACGGAAGAAGAGAAUGCAUCCGUUAAACCAGACUGCAGGGUUGAUCUAGGUCAAUGGAGACGAUUGGUUCAACAUUGGUUUUCUGAAAAAGGACAAAAAAUAAGUAAAAUUAAUAGACAGCAUCGUGCUAAGUUUGAAGAUGUUCAUUGUUUGGGUACAAAAAGUCUCCCAAAGUUUAUUGAUGAAAAGAAAAAAAAAUGUCAAUGGAAGAUCACCCAAACGUAAAGAGAUUUACAUUGAAACCCACACCCAUAAAGAUGGUUCAUUUGUCAAUGACAAAGCUGCAAGAGUGAUCGUAAUCGUCUUUAGCAAGAAAUUAGCUUUAUAUUUGUUCCUGCAAUGAAAGGAGUUGUCAUGGGACUUCUUGGUAAUAUGAGAAUGGUGCUGGCUUGCGAGCAAUCCUAAGGCGUUCAAGUUGAUUAUUAGUUGUUUGCGCAUAAAUUCUUGUUCUGCAUAGGAUCAUUAAGUGUAGGGAUAGGUGAGUGAUUAUGGUUGAGGAGGUAUAACACCUUUGUGUAGGCCUUGGUGUUGUUAUUAUUUGUAUGUAUCAACAUAAGAUAGUUUUGGUGGGUGAGACUCUUAUGUAUUGAAUAUCUAUAUGUAUAUACAAAAUUGUAUUGUAUAUUAUUCAUGUUAUAUUGGAGAAGUACUUGAUAUUA